AGAGCUGUAUCCUAAGACCCUGCACCCGGCUGCUAUGCAGGAGGAGGUUCCUACAAUAUAGACUUGUCUCCUUGAUAUCUUUUAUAUAAGAAAAUUUUACUGACUGACCCAUCAAGGAUGGAUAGGGACAGAGACAAGAUGGCAGAGAUGAUAAUAAAUCUCACCCUAGAGAUACUCUUCCAACUUACUGGAGAGGAUUACACAGUGGUGAAGAAGACCUCUAGUGAACGCUGUCAGGCUCCUGUGUAUGAAGGAUGGGGAAGAACCCUGAGCCCAAUCACAAGACCUCCACCUCACCCCCUGAUUCAUGAGGAAAUCAAACAGAAGAUCCUAGAACUUACCCACAAGAUGAUUGA